GGCGCGCUCCGCACCUGGCCUGAAAGCGGGAGAUUUGGCAACCAGUGCGCGUGGGUGCGCCGGCCCUUGCAGCUGGGGACUCUGGAGGCAGACCUUGCCCAAAGCCAGAGGCAGGAACUCCCCAGAUCCUCCCAGGGUAGCAUGGGAGGAUGCCGCCUCCUCCAGGAAGCUCUCUAGCGCUUUUCCGAGUCCUGGAGCCAGGCGGGACUUCUCUGUGGUCGCCUAGAAGGGUAUGAACUUAGGGCAUCCCCAUCUGGGCUGUGAAGGUUUCUGACUUGGGGACCAGGUGCUCAGACCUUCCUGGAUGCUGCUUUCCACAAUAUCUCUACCAGGCAGGCAGGUUCUCUUCAUUUUGCAAAUUUGGUGAAACAGCAUUUGUAAAACUUUAGAAGCUUCCUUGGCUCACACAGGUGGUAGUGGCCCUGUCAGGAUUUGACCCAGGCUCUCGGAUUCCAGAGUUCCUGAAUUUAACCACCUGUACUGUGAUGCCUCCUUAUCAUGUGUGCAUCGUGCAUUACUAUUUUUUAUAGCCUGUAGGGUACUGAGCACCAUGCACACCUACAGUGAUCACAGGCACUGCCUACUGGAAGGUCUUCUUUGGCUGGGUUCCAGUUUCCUCAGACGAUGUAGGGCAGGGAGUUCCACUUGUUAGCAUAUCCCACAGGGCCUUUCUCUUCAAAUGGACCCCAGCAGCCAACCACACAGCUGCCUCAGCAAGCGUAGGAGAUGGCACAUCAGAGACCAACAAUUGUCAGCACAGCAAAACUGGGCAUUUCUUUUCUUACUGAGCUUUGCAGCUACCUACACAGUUGUGUGUGGCAUCUCCUCCUGGGUGCAAGGACAUGAGAUGACAUCAGUUACUGUGAUCUCCAGUAAAAUGUUUAAUACAAGUGGAGACAAUAGAUAACCUUUUCCAACUCCUGAUCGGGGGGUGGAAAGUGCUCAGUGUGCUAUUAACUUAAGGCUUUUAUAGAUGUGCUUUAUCAUGUAAAGGCUGUUCCCUCCAAUUCUUUCUAUACUGAGAAAUUUUUUCAAAGAGGUGUUAAAUUUUUUCAACCCAUGUCACAAAUCUGCAUAUGUACUCCCCUAAACCUAAAAUAAAAGUUGGAAAGAAAAAUAAAACUAUUACUUGAAA
rnacentral:lncRNA from 1 species